rnacentral:rRNA from 1 species
ACCCAUGCAAGCCGAGCGGUAGAUUACUUUCGGGUAAUUGAGAGCGGCGUACGGGUGCGGAACACGUGUGCAACCUGCCUUUAUCAGGGGGAUAGCCUUUCGAAAGGAAGAUUAAUACCCCAUAAUAUAUUAUUCGGCAUCGGGUGAUAUUGAAAACUACGGUGGAUAGAGAUGGGCACGCGCAAGAUUAGCUAGUUGGUGAGGUAACGGCUCACCAAGGCGACGAUCUUUAGGGGGCCUGAGAGGAUGAUCCCCCACACUGGUACUGAGACACGGACCAGACUCCUACGGGAGGCAGCAGUGAGGAAUAUUGGACAAUGGGUGGAAGCCUGAUCCAGCCAUCCCGCGUGCAGGAAGACGGCCCUAUGGGUUGUAAACUGCUUUUAUCUGGGGAUAAACCUACUUACGUGUAAGUAGCUGAAGGUACCAGAAGAAUAAGCACCGGCUAACUCCGUGCCAGCAGCCGCGGUCAUACGGAGGGUGCAAGCGUUAUCCCGAUUUAUUGGGCUUGAAGGGUCCGUAGGCCGACUGAUAAGUCAGUGGUGAAAUCCGACAGCUUAACUGUCGAACUGCCAUUGAUACUGUUUAUCUUGAGUCGCGGUUGAACUGGCUGGAAUAAGUCGUGUAGCGGUGAACUGCGUAUAUAUUACUUACAACACCGAUUGCUAAGGCCUGUUCACUACCUCUUAAUUUGACGCCUUAUGCACCAAAGCGUACUUAGCGAACAGGAUUAGAUACCCUGGUACUCCACGCCGUCUACGAUGAUUACUCGUUUUUUGACUUUAAAUUGGGUUUAAUGAUUCAGAGACUAAGCGAAAGUGAUAAGUAAUCCACCUGGGGAGUACG